CACCCUGAGGAUGUGGAGCAGGUCCAGCCCCUGCAGGAGGAUCCAGGCCAAGACUGAACAGAGGAGCAGGACCGCGCCCGGGGCCGCUUCCGCAGGGCAGCACAGAUGGUUUUGGAAUUCACCAGGUGCAUUUGGAGGGAAGAGACCAUUGCCAUGGUCACUGGGGGCACGGCAAACUCUGACCUCCACAAUGCUGAAACCAGUGCUGUCCUGCUGGAUUUGCUCAUGGAAAAUGGUGCCUCCAAUCCCAAGAAAGUGCCAACCUUCGUGAGGUGCAUCCACUGGUGGCUCAUGUUCAGUGUGUCUCCUGAGCACAGGUUAGACAAGACUCUUCUGGAUCUGGCCGAGGCACACCCCGUGGAUGUGAUGCUGUGCUCUGCCCCAUCAUGUGACAGGUUGCUGUGGCUUUGUCACCUGGGACUGGGAGCUGCCUAGGCCGUGGCACUGUGGCUUAGACCCUGCUGACACAGAGUUUGACCCUGCAGAGCUGCUGCGACCGUGUGGAGGACGAUCAUCUUCUCAAGUCGGACUGCACAGUCGGUGCUCAAGAUACUUGCCCUUGUCCUGGGAAGCUGGCCAGCACGCAGCAUGUGCACCUCUGAUGGGGAUGAAACAGAUGUCUUUGCCCUGGCUAUGAGUUUCUGGAACUGGACUUUGCUCACUCCCGCAUCACCUCCAGGGCAGUUCUUCAUCCUCCCCCAGCACUGCAUCUCCCUGCCUCAGGCACUGGGCUGGAAACCUGGGUUAGGGGCAGGUUCAGGGGCACCAGGCCAGGUGCUCCUCCUGUGUCUCCCCUGGCCUCUCUCUCCCGCGCUCGGGCCUUGCCACGUGGAUGUCUCAGCACUGAGCGCUGUCUCCAGAUGUUUUACUCUUUUGCAGGCAAACGUGAUGCUGUGGACGAUCCUCCAGCUGUCCUGGUGCCCACGUACAGUGAGGGAGUGUUUCCCCAGCCUCUUUGUGCCUCUUCCAAGUGUUCUUCAACGCAGUGCAUAGGCUGGAGGAGGACGACGCCUUCUGGAGGGAAUGCCAGGACCAACACAGCCUUCCCACCAACCCCAACAGGUUUGCAGUGCUGACCAUCAAAGCCCUGCUGCGCCAUCUGCGGUGUGAGGGUGUGGUGAUGGCACUGGAACGCAAGCGUGGCUGGGACACGCUGCUCAACGCCGACACCCACCACUACGCAGUGGGUCUGCUGGCCAGGUGAGACCCCCUUGUCCCCACUGCCCCUGUCAAUUCUGCCUGUGCAUGGGGCACCACAC